GUAGGUGGCAAGCGUUGUCCGGAUUUAUUGGGCGUAAAGCGAACGCAGGCGGGAAGAUAAGUCAGCUGUGAAAGCCCUCGGCUCAACCGGGGAACGGCAACUGAAACUAUUUUUCUUGAGUGCAGAAGAGGAGAGUGGAACUCCAUGUGUAGCGGUGGAAUGCGUAGAUAUAUGGAAGAACACCAGAGGCGAAGGCGGCUCUCUGGUCUGUAACUGACGCUGAGGUUCGAAAGCAUGGGUAGCGAACAGGAUUAGAUACCCUGGUAGUCCAUGCCGUAAACGAUGAGUGCUAAGUGUUGGGAGGUUUCCGCCUCUCAGUGCUGCAGCUAACGCAUUAAGCACUCCGCCUGGGGAGUACGACCGCAAGGUUA
rnacentral:rRNA from 1 species